rnacentral:rRNA from 1 species
UACGGGGGGGGCAAGCGUUGUUCGGAAUUACUGGGCGUAAAGGGCACGUAGGCGGUCUGUUAAGUCGGAUGUGAAAACUCUGGGCUCAACCCAGAGCCUGCAUCCGAAACUGGCAGGCUAGAGUUCUGGAGGGGGUAGCGGAAUUCCUGGUGUAGCGGUGAAAUGCGUAGAUAUCAGGAGGAACACCGGUGGCGAAGGCGGCUACCUGGACAGAAACUGACGCUGAGGCGCGAAAGCUAGGGGAGCAAACAGG